rnacentral:rRNA from 1 species
GACGAACGCUGGCGGCGUGCUUAACACAUGCAAGUCGAACGGUGAACGAGGGAGCUUGCUCCCUCCGGAUCAGUGGCGAACGGGUGAGUAACACGUGAGCAAUCUGCCCCGAACUCUGGGAUAAGCGUUGGAAACGACGUCUAAUACCGGAUACGACGCGGGAGGGCAUCCUCUCCGCGUGGAAAGAACUUCGGUUCGGGAUGAGCUCGCGGCCUAUCAGCUUGUUGGUGAGGUAACGGCUCACCAAGGCGACGACGGGUAGCCGGCCUGAGAGGGUGACCGGCCACACUGGGACUGAGACACGGCCCAGACUCCUACGGGAGGCAGCAGUGGGGAAUAUUGUACAAUGGGCGCAAGCCUGAUGCAGCAACGCCGCGUGAGGGAAGACGGCCUUCGGGUUGUAAACCUCUUUUAGCAGGGAAGAAGCGAAAGUGACGGUACCUGCAGAAAAAGCACCGGCUAACUACGUG